CAGUGGUAACUAUCCUUGCUUUUGCUCUUCUUAGGUGCUGGUAGAGCUUAAAAGUUCCUGAGAAAGUAUCAGCACAAACACCUCAAAUUACAGAUGAAGAAACUUCAGGCAGAGAAAGGAAGCCCUUUCUUAAUAUCACACAGCAAGUCAGUGGAAGAUUCUGGAGUCGCUUGUCCACCUUGGUUCCCUGACCCCAGGAAGGUAUCAGUGCCUCGCUCUUGAAGCAUGAGAAUCACUAUGUUCUUGGAAGACCUGGUCUCCAGGAAGACUGCUCUGUGGCUGUGUGAAGAAGUAGAGCUUGGGGUGACGGGAACUCUUGGGUGAUUUUGAGCAGGAAGACGGUGCUGCUGCUGAUGACAGAAUGAAGGGGAAAUUGAAGAGAACAGUCCAAGAAGCUAUUAAAGAGAGAGUGAAGGCCAGAACAAGGGCAUUUUUACUGGGGUUCAAGAGAUGGGAAAGCAGCAGCAAGGAGACGAUGUUGUGGAUAUAUCAUCAGGAUUGGAGAGCUACCACGUGUCUGGUGCAUCUGAUUCCCAAGGAGCCUGGUGGGAAAGGAAGAAAAUUAUAGGGAAGUAUGUGUUACCCCUGUUACAUUUUCAGACCUAUGAUAAAUGCAAUUAAACAUUUAGAAAACA